CGGGGAGCCUGCUCACAGGCUGAGAGGAGCGCGCGGCGCUCGACCCGCAAUACCUGAUCCAGAUCAUGCUGGCGGAGGGA
rnacentral:ncRNA from 1 species